CCUACGGGAAGCAGCAGUAGGGAAUAUUGCUCAAUGGGGGAAACCCUGAAGCAGCAACGUCGCGUGGAGGAUGACGGUUUUCGGGUUGUUAACUUCUUUUGUUAGAGAAGUUAAUGACGGCAUGUAUGGAAUAAGCACCGUCUAACUCCGUGACAGCAGCCGCGGUUCUACGGAGGGUGCAAGCGUUACUCGGAAUCACUGGGCGUAAAGAGGGCGUAGGCGGGAUAGCAAGUCAGAUGUGAAAUGCUAUGGCUUAACCAUAGAACUGCAUUGGAAACUGUUAUUCUAGAGUAUGGGGGAGGUAGGUGGAAUUCGUGGUGUAGGGGUAAAAUGCGUAGAGAUCAAGAAGAAUACUCAUUGCGAAGGCGACCUACUAGAACGUUACUGACGCUGAUGCGCGAAAGCGUGGGGAGCAAACAGGAUUAGAUACCCGAGUAGUC
rnacentral:rRNA from 1 species